CUUCCAGCAGUCCCAAAAUAUUAGUCAAUGCUCGAAAGAGUGAACUAGCUAACUGAAAUCAAUUAUAAAAAUUGAUAACAUAAGGGAAAAUAAUGAUAUUACCUUAUUAUUAGUGUCGUCCAAAUCUGGUGCCAGAAGACUCGGUAAGGCCAGAGACACAAACGUUAAUCGUCUUAAUCAGGCGUAAAGGGUUUGUAGGCGGCUUUAAAAAUUAUUAAAUAAAAUAAAAACAAAAAAUUUAUUAUAUUAAUAAUUAAAGAAUAAAAGCUAGAAUCAAAAAGAGGAUAUAUCAAAGAAUGCUUAGAGUAGGUCUGAUAUCCUUAGAUACUAAGUAGAAUAUUAAAGGCGAAAGCUUUUUUCCAUUAAUGAUUGACGCUCAGAAACGAAGGUGAGGAUAGGAAAUAGGAUUAGAUACCCAAAAUACCCCUCUCUGUCAACGAUGAAUGGUAGUUAUUAGUAAAAAUUUUAUUAAUGACAAUGUUAACACGAUAACCAUUCCGCCUUGUGAGUACAACUGCAAAGUUGAAAACAAAAAAAUUAGUCGGUUUCGGAGCAAACGAAGUGAAGCAUGUUAUUUAAUUCGAUAAUCCGCAAAUGUUGA
rnacentral:rRNA from 1 species